UCUACGGGAGGCUGCAGUGAGGAAUAUUGGUCAAUGGACGAGAGUCUGAACCAGCCAAGUAGCGUGAAGGAUGACUGCCCUAUGGGUUGUAAACUUCUUUUAUAUGGGAAUAAAACAGGGUAUGCAUACCCUCUUGUAUGUACCAUAUGAAUAAGGCUCGGCUAACUCCGUGCCAGCAGCCGCGGUAAUACGGAGGAUCCGAGCGUUAUCCGGAUUUAUUGGGUUUAAAGGGAGCGUAGGUGGAUUGUUAAGUCAGUUGUUAAAGUUUGCGGCUCAACCGUAAAAUUGCAGUUGAAACUGGCAGUCUUGAGUACAGUAGAGGUGGGCGGAAUUCGUGGUGUAGCGGUGAAAUGCUUAGAUAUCACGAAGAACCCCGAUUGCGAAGGCAGCCUGCCGCAGCGUUACUGACGCUGAAGCUCGAAAGCGCGGGUAUCGAACAGGAUUAGAUACCCGUGUAGUC
rnacentral:rRNA from 1 species